rnacentral:rRNA from 1 species
GACGAAGGAUGCAAGCGUUAUCCGGAUUCAUUGGGUUUAAAGGGAGCGUAGGUGGUCUUCUAAGUCAGUGGUGAAAUCCUGUCGCUUAACGAUAGAAUUGCCAUUGAUACUGGGGGACUUGAGUGUAGUUGCCGUUGGCGGAAUAUGACAUGUAGUGGUGAAAUACAUAGAGAUGUCAUAGAACACCGAUUGCGAAGGCAGCUGACGAAACUAUAACUGACACUGAGGCUCGAAAGUGUGGGGAUCAAACAGG